rnacentral:lncRNA from 1 species
AUGGUAUUUAGAGAUCUGGGUACCAGCUGCGGUGUGCUCAUAUCUGCAGAGGCUUCUGUUCAGCUAAGAGCGGGCCAUGGAUUCAGGAUCCUUAAUCGAAGUGGGGGCUCUGAAGUAGACUAUUCAGUCUCCAGCAAAGCAGAUGAGAAGUGCGAUUGGUUGAAGUCUCUGAUUUCUGAUGAUUAGCCAAUACUGGCUGUUCUGGCUAUGAAGAUGUCUCAAAUCAAUCCUAUCCUGUCUGGCUUUCCAGGAAGAGAGCUGUCCCUCCCCUUGCUCUCGCAGCCCCUGUCAUCCCAGAUUGAAAUUUAUCAGAGCUGCUGCGAGCAGGAAAUUAGCUCCUUUACAACUUGUUCUCCAC